UUUCUGUGGUUAACUGGAGAUAAGAGACUCACAGACUUUCCUACUAGGACUGGCUUCAAAGCACAAUCCUCAGAAUUCAGCCUCUUGAGCAGCAAGGACCAGAAGUGUGAGCUACCUACUCAGCAAAGAAACAGAUUUUUAUUCCAUUCUUCUUCAAAAAGAAAAGAAUAUGUCUCUAUAUAUGCAUAAUUGUAUAUACCAAUAAAAGUCACCUGGUAACCUCUGAAUGAAAGGUCAUUUUCCUUAAGGAAGUUGCCUUGACAGUGAAGGAGAGAUUAGACUUUCUACAUUCUGAGGUGUGUGGAUUUCUCACAAAUAUUUCUUUUGUAAUUAAUACUGGAAACGGGAAGUAAUCAAAUAUAAAUCUGAUUAUUAAUCCUUACAGUUUAAAACUCUCUAAGGACCUUUAGUUUAAACUACCAAAUUUGGCACAGAAGGCAUUUUUUUGCUCUACCCGCAAUUCUUGUUCCCCUUUUUGCCUUAUGAGCCCUAUACUUACUGUGCUUUGCUUCUUGUGUAUACCUGUUAUGAGAAUUAACUGAAAAAGAACCAAGAACAGAGCUUUGGGGAAUCAUAUACACUUAUGGGGCAGAAAGAAGAAAAUAUUAUCAUAGAGAUUAUCUUUUUUAAAAAGCAGGGUGGGAUGGUUAAAGAUAAAGGAAGCAAACCAGGGUAAUAAAAGCAUUAAAUAAAAGCCCAGAGAACAGAGAAUUUUGAGAAGGGAGGAAAUCUUGGAGCCAUCAACAGUGUUUGAGACUGAAACACUUCACAAUCAUAUUUUUAAUGACAAAUUUACUAUUCCCACGAAGACAUUUUAACAUCCACCUAAUAAGUUAAUAACAUUAUCAUUUCUAUCCUUCAAAGUUCAAAACACAGUAGACUAUAUGUUUCACAAAAUAAAACUGGACUUUUAAGGAAUGACAAACUAGGAACACACUAACACAUUACAGUCAAACAGUAUAUUUUAAAAGUAAUCUCUUACUACUUUUAAAAAAGUCAGCAACUGAAUAAGAAAGAUUUAUCAAGUAAAAACCAAUGCACUAUAUGCAUUUUAAACCAGUCUGAAUGUUUAGCAAUAAAACCUCAACCUUUCUUCAGUGACAACAAACAAGCUAAUGAUACACUAAAGCCUUGAGGUCAAAAUAACAUUUUAAAGUAUUUUUACUACUUCUAAUCAAACAUAGAAAUUACAACAUUAUCAAUAAAGUUCCCACCUGAGACAUCCUUAAGGGCAAAAGACCUGUACCACUCAAUGCCUGGCACAUAGGAAGCUAUAGAAACAUACUUGUAAAGUAAAUGGCGUAAUUUAAUGAAUAGGGUUCAUAUAAUGUACAACAUUCUGUUCAUAAAGGUGCUGUCAGAUUAUGUCAAAACUACUUUUAGAAGUUUGACUAGUUCUGAAAUUUUGAUGGCAAGACUAUUGGACUUGAUUAUGAAUCAACGCUGCUGAUUAGCUAAAUCCCAGUUUUUCCAUCACUGGUACUAGGAAAAAGUGUUCCGAUGAAGUGUGCAGAAUUUAAAACACAAGAAGAUAGGAGUCUGCUGGGAAUUGUUAAACCAAAUAGGCUAUGGUGUGAUAAACAGAAGAUGAGCACAGAGCUGGAGUCUAGCUCUCAGGUUUACAAGCUGAGUGAACAUAAUUUUCUAAGUCAUGUAUUCAUCAUCUCUCAGAAGAAAGUUAAUAUGAAGACUUAAGUAAAUAAAACACUGUAGAUAUCAAACGAUAAAUAUUAGAUUCAGGUAAUCUAUUUGAACCACAGAAAUACUAGGCACAGAUAUUGAACUUAGAAGAAAAUAAUUUUAAAUGUAUCAAGACAGAGAGAAAUUUGGGCAGGCUGCCUUUCCAGGGACCAGAUGUCAACUCUACAUGCAGGAUAUGCCAUAGAAACUAUGAUGAAAUACUUAUCUAAUGUACAAACUGUACAGAGCUAGGAAGGACAGUUCAUAUAUCAGAUGAGAGAAUAAGUAGGUAAAAUGAUAACUGGAUUUAAUCCCUUUCCUAUGGAUAAAAUCCAGGGAUGAGCUCCUAAGGAACAGUGAGUUGGCUUGGCUUUCAUAAUUAACAAACACAGGGCAUUGAAAUAUUUCAUGAGCUCACAAAACCUGAGUCAUUUAGUAUAAAUAAGAGCUUAUGCAAAGCUUAAAUACUAAGUACAUAAGAAUUAGAAGAAUGUAUACAAUUGAAGCUUUUUUAGUAUAAUAUAAUGAAGCCUGCCCCAAACAAGUGUUAUACUAAGCUAACAGCAAUUUGAUUUCCACAACAAGAGAUGUAAUAGGGCUACUUUGCCCUGAUCUAAAGUCAUCUGCAUUCAAAUGUCAAUUCAAAAAUGCAAACAUUUGUAUAAGUCCUUUAAAAUACUUCAAAAUUAUGAGUCCAAUGAGGAAUAGAGGCUAGGCUUGGUGGCUCUUGUCUAUACCACCUACCCAGAAGGCAGAGAAGGGGAGACUAUGGUUCAAGGCCAUUCUAAGUAAAAAGUUAGCUAUAUCCUAUCUCAAUGAAGCAGUCAGGUAUGCUGGCA